rnacentral:rRNA from 1 species
GCCCGCUCAGAAACUUAAAGGAAAGUUGACGGGGGCCCGCACAAGCGGUGGAGUAUGUGGUUUAAUUUCGAUGCAACGCGAAGAACCUUACCUGGUCUUGACAUCCCGGAGACCCUUAGGAAACUAGGGGGUGCUUCCAUCUGGAAGAAUCUGGAGACAGGUGCUGCAUGGCUGUCGUCAGCUCGUGUCGUGAGAUGUUGGGUUAAGUCCCGCAACGAGCGCAACCCUUGCCUUUAGUUGCCAGCAGUUCGGCUGGGCACUCUAAAGGGACUGCCGGUGUUAAACCGGAGGAAGGUGGGGAUGACGUCAAGUCCUCAUGGCCUUUAUGACCAGGGCUACACACGUACUACAAUGGCCGAUACAAAGGGCAGCGACACUGCGAGGUGAAGCCAAUCCCGUAAAAUCGGUCUCAGUCCGGAUUGGAGUCUGCAACUCGACCCCAUGAAGUUGGAAUCGCUAGUAAUCGUGGAUCAGCAUGCCACGGUGAAUACGUUCCCGGGCCUU